CUUCCUUUAUAAAUAAUUUUUCGUAUAACUCCAAUGAUAUGGUUUGGAGGUCUCUACCAGGAACCAAUAAAUUCCUGAUUACGAAGAAGAUACACUUACCU
rnacentral:ncRNA from 2 species